GACGUAGGGGGCGAGCGUUGUCCGGAUUCAUUGGGCGUAAAGAGCUCGUAGGCGGCUGACUAAGUCAGGUGUGAAACCUCCAGGCUCAACCUGGAGUCGCCACCUGAUACUGGUCUGGCUAGAGUCCGGUAGGGGACCACGGAAUUCCUGGUGUAGCGGUGAAAUGCGUAGAUAUCUGGAGGAACACCGGUGGCGAAGGCGGCAUUCUGGACCGAUAUUGACGCUGAGGAGCGAAAGCCAGGGGAGCAAACGGG
rnacentral:rRNA from 1 species